AGGGUGACAUUUCAAUACAUGCAUGCAAUGCAUAAUGAUCGAAUUUGGGUAAUUGGCAUAUCCAUUAUCUCAAAGGUUUAUCAUUUCUUCGUGCUGGUAAUGUACAAAAUUUUCUCCUCUCAGUACUCGAAAACAUACAAUACGCCCCGGUGGAGAAGCUGAGGUCAACAUCAGAUUUGAAAUAUUUAAAGUGGAUACAAAACUAUUUCAGCAAUGCAGACAAUUAAGUGUGUUGUUGUGGGCGAUGGUGCUGUUGGUAAAACAUGUCUCCUGAUAUCCUACACAACAAACAAAUUUCCAUCGGAAUAUGUACCAACUGUUUUUGACAACUAUGCUGUCACAGUUAUGACUGGUGGAGAACCAUAUACUCUUGGGCUUUUUGAUACUGCAGGGCCAGAGGAUGAUGACAGAUUAUGACCGCUGAGUUAUCCACAAACAGAUGUUAUUUCUAGUCUGUUUUCCAGUGGUCUCUCCAUCUUCAUUUGAAAAUGUGAAAGAAAAGUGGGUGCCUGAGAUAACUCACCACUGUCCAAAGACUCCUUUCUUGCUUGUUGGGACUCAAAUUGAUCUCAGAGAUGACCCCUCAACUAUUGAGAAACUUGCCAAGAACAAACAGAAGCCUAUCACUCCAGAGACUGCUGAAAAGCUGGCCCGUGACCUGAAGGCUGUCAAGUAUGUGGCGUGUUCUGCACUUACACAGAAAGGCCUCAAGAAUGUAUUUGACGAAGCAAUAUUGGCUGCCCUGGAGCCUCCAGAACCGAAGAGCCGCAGGUGUGUGCUGCUAUGACCAUCUCUCCAGAGCCCUUUCUGCACAGCUGGUGUCGGCAUCAUACUAAAAGCAAUGUUUAAAUCAAACUAAAGAUUAAAAAUUAAAAUUCCUUUUUGCAAUAAAGACAAAUGCCCUGCACCUACCCACAUGCAAGGCCCAUAGGUAUGGCCCCCCUUUCCCCUCCCAGUACUAGUUAACUUUGAGUAAUUGUGUGUUGUCAGAAAAGUGAUUAGUACUAGUUUCUGUUUUGUUUCAAAAAAAAAAAAGGUUUUUUUUUUUGUUUGUUUAAAAGCAAGGCAUGCUUAUGGAUGACUGUAUCAGACUAAUUGGAAUUGUUGAAGCUGCUCCCUGGUUCCACUCUGGAGACAUCUGGCACAUCUUAGUGUUUUGUUUUGUUUUUUUUCUCCUUUUUUCGGGGGGGGGAGUGUGUGUGGGGUUUGUUUUUUAGUCUUGUUUUUUUAAUUCAUUAACCAGUGGAUAGCCCUUAAGGGGAGGAGGAUGGAUUGAUUCCACAUUCCACUUCCUAGAUCUAGUUUAGAAAACAUGUUCUCCAUCUGGUGCUCUUAGGAAGGAGUAUAGUAAAUGCCUCAUUUAAUAACAUACUCCUUUUUGAAAGUUGCCUUUUCUCUCCACCCUUGAGUAGAUCCAGUAUUUGAUGAAGCUCAUGAAAGUGGGUGGAGCCUGUCUUGCCCCUCCUCUUUUCUAGGACGCACUAUAUGUGACUGUGACUUUCAAGGACAUUUGUUUGCCAUUCACUGUUUUUUUGGGGAAGUUGAUUUCUAACUUCUUUCACUGAUAAAUGAAGAAAAGUAUUGCACCUUUGAAAUGCACCAAAUGAAUUGAGUUGGUAAUUAAAAAAAUUUUUUCCCCUCUCAGUCAUUAUCUUAUAUGCUUAGCAUAGAUUUGCAGCUCAGUAGUAUAUGGUGUUCCUAGAAUGCAGCUGAAGACCUGGUAUGUAGAGGAAAUACGAGGGGUGGUGCUAGAAGACAGAUAUCUGUGGAAUGAUUCACAUCCUCUCAAGUUAGGAGGAUGGAGGCCUGCUUCAUUAAGAAGCUGGGGGUAGGGUAGGGGUGGGGAGAACACUUAACAACAUGGGGACCAGUCAGGGGAAUCCCCUUAUUUCUGUUUUGCAUAUGAGGAACCCUAGAGCAGCCAGGUGAGGCUCUCUAGUUUAAUAAAAAUCAUGGAAAGGGUCUUAAUGAAGACUCUUAAUAAGUGUUAAUAGGGAUUUUAUCAGCUUAUUUUGGUUGCAGUUUCCAAUUUUUAAAAAUGUUGAGGUAAUCUUUCCCACCUUCCCAAUCCUAAUUCUUGUAGAUUCAUUAGUGUUGAACCAAUGCUUUCUCAUGUCUCAAUUCUUUGUAUAUGCAUUCUUUUCAGAUGUAUUAAACAAACAAAAACCCUUCACAA